UACGUAGGGUGCAAGCGUUAAUCGGAAUUACUGGCGUAAAGCGUGCGCAGGCGGUUGUGUAAGACAGAUGUGAAAUCCCGGCUCAACCUGGACUGCAUUGUGACUGCACAGCUGAGUGCGCAGAGGGGGGGAUGAAUCCGCGUGUAGCAGUGAAUGCGUAGAUAUGCGAGACACGAUGCGAGCAUCCCUGGCUGCACUGACGCUCAUGCACGAAGCGUGGGAGCAACAGAUAGAU
rnacentral:rRNA from 1 species